rnacentral:rRNA from 1 species
AGUCGACGAUGAAUCUUCUAGCUUGCUAGAAGUGGAUUAGUGGCGCACGCGGUGAGUAAUGCAUAGGUUAUGUGCCCUUUAGUCUGGGAUAGCCACUGGAAACGGUGAUUAAUACUGGAUACUCCCUACGGGGGAAAGUUUUUCGCUAAAGGAUCAGCCUAUGUCCUAUCAGCUUGUUGGUGAGGUAAUGGCUCACCAAGGCUAUGACGGGUAUCCGGCCUGAGAGGGUGAUCGGACACACUGGAACUGAGACACGGUCCAGACUCCUACGGGAGGCAGCAGUAGGGAAUAUUGCUCAAUGGGGGAAACCCUGAAGCAGCAACGCCGCGUGGAGGAUGAAGGUUUUAGGAUUGUAAACUCCUUUUGUUAGAGAAGAUUAUGACGGUAUCUAACGAAUAAGCACCGGCUAACUCCGUGCCAGCAGCCGCGGUAAUACGGAGGGUGCAAGCGUUACUCGGAAUCACUGGGCGUAAAGAGUGCGUAGGCGGGGUAAUAAGUCAGAUGUGAAAUCCUGUAGCUUAACUACAGAACUGCAUUUGAAACUGUUACUCUGGAGUGUGGGAGAGGUAGGUGGAAUUCUUGGUGUAGGGGUAAAAUCCGUAGAGAUCAAGAGGAAUACUCAUUGCGAAGGCGACCUGCUGGAACAUUACUGACGCUGAUGCACGAAAGCGUGGGGAGCAAACAGGAUUAGAUACCCUGGUAGUCCACGCCCUAAACGAUGGAUGCUAGUUGUUGCCUUGCUUGUCAGGGCAGUAAUGCAGCUAACGCAUUAAGCAUCCCGCCUGGGGAGUACGGUCGCAAGAUUAAAACUCAAAGGAAUAGACGGGGACCCGCACAGGCGGUGGAGCAUGUGGUUUAAUUCGAAGAUACGCGAAGAACCUUACCUAGGCUUGACA